rnacentral:rRNA from 1 species
GAAAAAGAGCGAUCUAGCCAUGGCCAGGGUGAAGUUGCAGUGACGUGCAAUGGAGGCCCGAACCCACCG